UGGGGAAUAUUGCACAAUGGGCGCAAGCCUGAUGCAGCCAUGCCGCGUGUGUGAAGAAGGCCUUCGGGUUGUAAAGCACUUUCAGCGAGGAGGAAGGGUAGUGUGUUAAUAGCACAUUGCAUUGACGUUGCUCGCAGAAGAAGCACCGGCUAACUCCGUGCCAGCAGCCGCGGUAAUACGGAGGGUGCAAGCGUUAAUCGGAAUUACUGGGCGUAAAGCGCACGCAGGCGGUUUGUUAAGUCAGAUGUGAAAUCCCCGCGCUUAACGUGGGAACUGCAUUUGAAACUGGCAAGCUAGAGUCUUGUAGAGGGGGGUAGAAUUCCAGGUGUAGCGGUGAAAUGCGUAGAGAUCUGGAGGAAUACCGGUGGCGAAGGCGGCCCCCUGGACAAAGACUGACGCUCAGGUGCGAAAGCGUGGGGAGCAAACA
rnacentral:rRNA from 1 species